GAAUCUUAUAAGAGGUCCAGCCUGCCCAGUGACCCUGUUCAACGGCCGCGGUAUCCUAACCGUGCGAAGGUAGCGUAAUCACUUGUUCUUUAAUUGCGGACUAGUAUGAAUGGCAUCACGAGGGUUACACUGUCUCCUUUUUCUAAUCAGUGAAACUAAUUUCCCCGUGAAGAAGCGGGGAUAAAAUUAUAAGACGAGAAGACCCUAUGGAGCUUUAAACAAUGUAGCAAUUACUUUAAAAUAUCUAGACUUACGAGUUUUAAAAUUCUUCAAGUGAUAUGACUGCAAGUUUUUGGUUGGGGUGACCACGGAGUAUAACACAACCUCCAUGUUGAAAAUCUUUCAAGCUAAGAAUAACCCAUCUAAGCAUCAACAUACUGACAUUCAUUGACCCAAUACAUUUGAUCAACGAACCAAGUUACCCUAGGGAUAACAGCGCAAUCCACUUCGAGAGCUCCUAUCGACAAGUGGGUUUACGACCUCGAUGUUGGAUCAGGGUACCCCAGUGGUGCAGCCGCUACUAAAGGUUCGUUUGUUCAACGAUUAAAACCCUACGUGAUCUGAGUUCA
rnacentral:rRNA from 1 species